rnacentral:misc_RNA from 1 species
CAAGGAUCUAAAAGGAAUUUUGGAUGAUUAUGGGGGCGAUUGUGAAAUGGACGGAGAUAGGUAUCGUAUCAUAAGCGGGGAAGGAGGUGAAAUUAUGAUGAAAAUACGAUAUUAUCCCUGGAGUUGGGAGAAUGUUUCGCUCGAGGGCUAAGCUAAGGGCAGGGAGAGAUUUGUCCUCGAAAAAGUAGGCUCAAGCCGUGCUUGCUGUGGUUGGAUAGAAUCAAAAUUGAAAAAAGAAUUGCAAAUUUAUUCGUUGAUUUAGGGACACGAAUCGUGUAGUGUUUG